CCUACGGGGGGCAGCAGUGAGGAAUAUUGGUCAAUGGCCGGAAGGCUGAACCAGCCAUGCCGCGUGAAGGUCAGUGCCCUAUGGGCGUUAAACUUCUUUUGUGCGGGAGCAAUAAUGGUCACGUGUGGCCAGACGAGAGUACCGUACGAAUAAGCAUCGGCUAACUCCGUGCCAGCAGCCGCGGUAAUACGGGGGAUGCAAGCGUUAUCCGGAUUUAUUGGGGUUAAGGGGUGCGUAGGUGGACAGUAAAGUCAGCGGUAAAAAUGCGGUGUUAAACGCCGUACAGCCGUUGAAACUGGCAGUCUUGAGUGGGCGAGAGGUAUGCGGAAUGCGUGGUGUAGCGGUGAAAUGCAUAGAUAUCACGCAGAACUCCGAUUGCGAAGGCAGCAUACCGGCGCCCGACUGACGCUGAGGCACGAAAGCGUGGGUAUCGAACAGGAUUAGAUACCCCAGUAGUC
rnacentral:rRNA from 1 species